rnacentral:misc_RNA from 1 species
AUUUCAGAGAAACAAAAAGGUACAAAAAUCUAAAUAAAAGCACAAUCAUUGAAAUGUUGCAAUGUAUCAGCAAAUUACUAGUCUCAAACAAGGAACCAUUCAGUAUCCACUGUUCUCAUCAAAAUUGCAGUAAAACAAAAGUACUAGUAUUACUAGAAACCAUGUAGACAGAUUCGGAUGAAUCACUUCAAUGGAAUGAACCUUGAAGAGUGAGUAGCACCAAUACCGGGCCUACCGUGCUUGACAGGCUUGUAUGAGAUGGAGAACUCAGCUAAGUAGUGACUAAUCAUCUCAGGCUUGACCUCAAUUUGAUUGAAAGUUUUUCCAUUGUAGAUUCCAAUGACACUUCCAAUCAUCUCAGGAACAAUGAUCAUGUUCCUCAAAUGUGUUCUCACAACCUCUGGCUUCUCACCAGGUGGG